rnacentral:piRNA from 1 species
CUCCCGUGAGAGGGUCAUUGCGG